UACGGAGGAUGCAAGCGUUAUCCGGAAUGAUUGGGCGUAAAGCGUCCGCAGGUGGCUAUGUAAGUCUGCUGUUAAAGAGUCUAGCUCAACUAGAUAAGAGCAGUGGAAACUACAUGGCUAGAGUGCGUUCGGGGCAGAGGGAAUUCCUGGUGUAGCGGUGAAAUGCGCAGAUAUCAGGAAGAACACCCGUGGCGAAGGCGAUUCUCUGGGACGGUACUGACGCUGAGACGCGAAAGCGUGGGGAGCGAACAGG
rnacentral:rRNA from 1 species